rnacentral:rRNA from 1 species
GAGUUUGAUCCUGGCUCAGAGCGAACGCUGGCGGCAGGCCUAACACAUGCAAGUCGAACGGCUCUUCGGAGCAGUGGCGGACGGGUGAGUAACACGUGGGAACGUGCCCUUUGGUUCGGAAUAACUCAGGGAAACUUGGAGCUAAGUACCGGAUGUGCCCUUCGGGGGAAAGAUUUAUCGCCAUAGGAGCGGCCCGCGUUGGAUUAGCUAGUUGGUGGGUAAAGGCCCACCAAGGCGACGAUCCAUAGGCCUGGUCUGAGAGGAUGAGUCAGCCACACUGGGACUGAGACACGGCCCAGACUCCUACGGGAGGCAGCAGUGGGGAAUCUUGCGCAAUGGGCGAAAGCCUGACGCAGCCAGUGCCGCGUGAAUGAUGAAAGGUCUUAGGAUUGUAAAAAUUC